rnacentral:rRNA from 1 species
UGGGGAAUAUUGCACAAUGGGCGCAAGCCUGAUGCAGCCAUGCCGCGUGUGUGAAGAAGGCCUUCGGGUUGUAAAGCACUUUCAGCGAGGAGGAAGGUGGUGAGCUUAAUACGCUCAUCAAUUGACGUUACUCGCAGAAGAAGCACCGGCUAACUCCGUGCCAGCAGCCGCGGUAAUACGGAGGGUGCAAGCGUUAAUCGGAAUUACUGGGCGUAAAGCGCACGCAGGCGGUUUGUUAAGUCAGAUGUGAAAUCCCCGGGCUCAACCUGGGAACUGCAUUUGAAACUGGCAAGCUAGAGUCUCGUAGAGGGGGGUAGAAUUCCAGGUGUAGCGGUGAAAUGCGUAGAGAUCUGGAGGAAUACCGGUGGCGAAGGCGGCCCCCUGGACGAAGACUGACGCUCAGGUGCGAAAGCGUGGGGCAGCAAACAGGAUUAGAUACCCUGGUAGUCCACGCUGUAAACGAUGUCGAUUUUGGAGGUUGUGCCCUUGAGGCGUGG